ACCACACACACACACACACACACACACACACACACACACACACACACACACUCAGCAGUGUUUAAAGCUCAGAUCUCAAGUCUUCUGUUCUGGAGCUUCAUGUUUCUUCCAGCAGUUCCUCUGUUUGUCCACAGGAGGGCAGCACAAACACAUGAUAAACUCUCAGCAAAGAGGACCAGUGCAUUCUCAAUCUCAUUAUUUAUUGUUCAUUCGUUUCCGUUUUAUUCAUGCAAUAUUAAACUUUUUUUGUAGGAAAUUAUACACUGCAAUUAUUUUUCAAAUUCUUGUGAAACAAUGUUACAUUAUCAGUAGAUUCACACUGAAUGUGUUUAAUAGUUUGAUUUUAAGCUGUUGAUUACCACAAAAUAAAUUUAGGAAACAAUAA